rnacentral:pre_miRNA from 1 species
GUGACAGGAGAGAGUGAGCACAAAUGGUUCUUUCUUGCAUGGACACACAUGCUUGAAGCUCUCUGUGCUCACUCUCUAUCUGUCAC